UUGAAUUGAAAUGACGAGCACCGAAUCAAAUUCCAUUACAACAGCUCAUACCAAGGCCCCGGCCAAUAGAAAGCCACCAAACAAGGAGAGUUAUGACGGACAAGAUAAGAAAGCAAAGAAGACAGUCAAAAGAGGGGUCAAAGGGGAGAUCGAGCAGAGCAUCACUUAGCCAACGCCUUCCCUGCUCUCAACCGAAGCAGAAGCCGCCUCUUCAUUGGAUGAACUUGAGCCCAAAGCACAACUUUUUCAAGACGCAGAUCUAACACAAGGAGAAUAGCUUUCUUAAAGCUAAUGUCUCAGCCGCAUCUUCACCAGAUAAGCUUGAACUCACAGGAGGCGGUGCAGAUCUAGCACUCGGAGAUCUUCAAAUCCAACGUUUCGGCUACGAUUGACGAUUGAGGGAUAGCUGCCUCGCCAGAUCCAGAGACGUAGCCGACAGGGUUCCCUUUCAGCCCAAAUACGAGUCUGAGUGAUUUGAGUCUGCAUCAGCAGUGACUGAACCAGAACAGACACGGGAUACCAACACUCGGUAAUGCCUCCUUCAGCAGAACUACUCAUUAUCUUCAUCUUGGCGACAGAGUCGUGAAGGCUUCUUCAAAGAGUCAAGACUGUCGUAUUGUGAUCGACAUCUCUUUCGAUUAGGUGGGCAUAAAUUAAUUGAAAUUGCAGGAGAAGCACUCUCCAAACAAUUCAAAUAAAGCUUCAAAUAUUUGUGAUAACAAGAUGGGUAAAUAAGUGUCAUCUCUUCCAUGUCCACGCACGAUUUCUUCAACAUCCCCAUUAGAAAAGCCAUAGAGUGGUGAUGAAAUCGAAAAUUAUCAUUGCUAUUACAAAAACUGAGACCUAAAGCAUCGAACUUGGAGACUGAAGAGAAGAAAAAAUGGAGCUAAAGCAGUAAAGCAUCAAACUUUCCGAUAUAAAUCGGAGAUAGCUUGAGAACACAGGCAUCAAUGGAGUAAAGAAAUAUAACAUGCAGUAGUUACUACAAAUUUGCUAUCACUUAUUACCAUUUUGACUGGCACAGAAAGCAUACGAAAAAAGAAUGGAAAAGGGUGUCGUUGGGUUUGGGUCACGAACAAAUGAAAGCAUAACAAGACAAGAAAAGAAGAAGACAGGAAACACUAACCGGCGGGACGACGAUCUGACUCGCCCGAUGGCGUCACGGUUGCUGAAUGUCGCAGAGUACUCUUCUUCGCGCGGUCACAGCCCCAGACGGCUGAGGUUUGUCCGCUUUAUAGGUGAUUAGAGUGCCAGGUUGGAUUAGCGGCUUCAUGUGGGCUCUGCCUUUAUGGCCUGUUGUUUAUGGUUUCAGGUUUCUAAAUCCGAUUUUUUCAAAAAUAAUUGAUUUUUAAGCCUCACUUUUAUUUAAAGGCUGUCUAUAAAUUCUUUUUUAUUAUUUUAUACAGUUUUUAGAAUUAAAAUUUUAUAUUUUUAAAUUACAAUUAUGAUAUUCAAAAAUUAAAAAUAAAUAAUAAAAAUUUUACUUUUAAAAUAUAAGUAUAUACUCUGACAGUUUAAAUUUAAUUUAAAAAUUAAAAAUAUUUUAUUUUUUUAAGAUGUAAAAACAAAAAAAGACUUAAAAGGGGCAACUGAGCGUGGGCUCAUUUUUUAGGGUCUAAAAAGUGGAUUUCAAAGCUUGAUUUUUUUAAAAAAUAUUAUUUUUUUAAUACUUAAAUCUUUAUGAAAAUGAAUUUUAAAGAGCAACCCUCCGAACCUUGCUUUACUCAUGGUGGUGUUGAGAGUGAUAGAUCUAUACCAUCCUGAAUUUAAUCUCACAGUUCAUUUUGAAGGUUUUAUUUUUAUUAAAAUAAACUUACAACAUUAUAAUAAAUUUAUUCUAUAGCAAAUCUAGAUAAUAUAAAUUUAAUUGGAUCUUCCUCUAGUGAAAGAUUUUUCUCACUCUUAUCUUUAGAGUGUGUUUAGUUAAAAGAGAGGGAGGGGAGGAAUUUUAAUGGAAAGAGGGGAGGGAUAAAGGGGAGGCAAGGGGAACGAGGGAAGAGAGUGAGAUUUUAAUGAAUUUUUGUUUGAUUUAUGAAAGAAUGGGAGGGAAUCAAUAAUAAGUUAACAAUUUUAUUAUUAUCAAUUUUAAGUUUAUUUUUAUUUUUUAUUUGAUUUAUAUUAAAAAUAGUUAUAUUGUAUUUUAGUAAAUUUAUUGUUUUACGGAUAUGAACUUAUAUUAAUAAUAUUUUUUGCAAAAUAAAUACAGUAAUUUUAUAUUUUGAUAGUGCAUCUAAUGAAAAAAAAUAAAAUUUAAGACAACAAAAUAUAUAUAUUAAUUUUGUAAAGUGAUAAAAUUUAUUUAACUAUAAGAGAGAGGGACUAAAAUAAUGCAUACUUUUUUAAUAUUAAAUAUAGUUUAAAAUUUUUAAAAUAAUAAAUAAAUAAGUAAUUUAGUUAUAAUUUUAUCUUUCGUCUUCCUUCCAAAAAAACUCUAAAUUGGAGAGGAAGGUUAGCAGAGGAUUGGGGGGGGGGGGUUCAUAUAUAUAUAUAUAUAACUAAUCAAGGUGAUCCCAUUCCCUUCCUUUAUAAAGUACGAACCAUAUACAGUGCUAUUGGUGGGAUGUUGCGAGAUUCUAAUGGAGACUGGAUUAUGGGUUUUAACCGUAAAGUGAAACAAUUAUCAUCUACUAUUUCUAAAAGUCUUUGGCAUUUUCAAAGGAUUUGAAAUUUGUUAGCAAAAAGGAUUUUGAGUUUGCCGAGGUUUUCUGUGAUUGUGCUAAUGUUAUAUCUACAAUUACAAUAGAGAACCAUAAUUAUCACCAUUUCUAACAAAUUAUCAACUAUACAAAAAAACUUUUGAUUAAAAAUCGAGAGGUCCAAAUUAAUUUUUUGUACACAGAAAAUAAUAGGAUGACUGAUUUUUUAGCUAAGUCAGCUUUUAGACUUAGUGAUGAUUUCAAUUUGUAUUAUUAACCUCUCAUUACUUAAUUGGGGGUUGUUUUUUACUUUUGGUUUUGUUGUUUGCUAGGCUCUAUUUUUUCCUAAGUUUUUCUUUUGUACACUUUCUUCGUGAAUGAAGGUCUCUAGUAUUUCUCCAAAAAAAAAAAAAGUACCAACCACAUAAGGAAGGUGAAGCAACUUCGCCCACCUCCUCCAAAAACUCCCACCUACACACACUCUGUGAUAAGAAUCUUUCAAUCUUCUUCUUUCUUCUUUGUGCUUGUAUUGAACUCCACUUCUUUUUCCUCUGUCUAUGCGUCAUGCCUAUGGUAAUGGAUCUUCUCUUGUAGCCUCAAAUCCUUUUUUUCACCUGUAUCUAAUUUUCUAUCUUUAUACUUCUGGCUAUUGGCCAUCCUUUUUUAGCUACAAAUUUGAGUGUUUUUCUUCAUUUCACACUAAUUAGCCUUUACUCCUUCCUCCCAUAAUCUCCAUAAUCUUAUUGGCUGCUCUUCUUUUCCCAAAUGAUUUUUCUUUCACUGUAUCUUCUUUUCACCUAUUGGUUGUUGCUUGGGUUAUGAUCUUUUUGUGACUUGUUAGACUUAAUUUCAUCAUCCACUAACUAUUGCUCUGGCCAAUCGCUCCCUCUGAUUCACUAACUAUUACUCUUUGCUAUUUUGGUGUUCCUCUUUGUCAUUUUCUAAUUUUUAAAUGUCUACGUUCUUACCUCUUAUCUGUUUAUCUGUUUAUAGUAAAUGCUUGUACUUAUUUCCUUUCACUCUUGCUUAUGUGGAAGGCAGAGUAGGAUGUUUUUAUCUUAUCAGCUUCCAACUUAUGGAAAACACUCAAAUAGAGAUUUUGUUGUUUGCAAAUUAUAAUGGUCCCCGGUCUCUCUACAACUCGCUUCUGCUGGUUGACAGAUGGUUUCUAAACCUUAUGCUGCAAGAACUCAAGGUGUCAAGCUUCCUUCUUUGGGCACGGUGGGAAACCCUUACCCUUGGCAAUACUGCGCUGGAGUAUGUGGGUUAAUGUGCCCUUGAGCAAUGAUGAUGAUGUCUAGAUUGAAGUCUUUUGUGAAAGGGUUUUUUGUCAAUGUCAUCUCUGUCGAGUUAUUUGCCACAUUUUCCAGACAUGUACUCACUCAGUCUCUGAGGCUUUUGAAGGAUUCAUUAUGGUUCAUGGCCAUUU